GACAGAGGGUGCAAACGUUGUUCGGAAUUACUGGGCGUAAAGCGCGUGUAGGCGGCUAUGCAAGUCGGAUGUGAAAGCCCUCGGCUCAACCGGGGAAGUGCACCCGAAACUGCAAAGCUAGAGUCUCGGAGAGGAUCGUGGAAUUCUCGGUGUAGAGGUGAAAUUCGUAGAUAUCGAGAGGAACACCGGUGGCGAAGGCGGCCUUCUGGACAGUGACUGACGCUGAGACGCGAAAGCGUGGGGAGCAAACAGG
rnacentral:rRNA from 1 species